AGAUGCAGAGCAAGGUGGCCCAGCACAAUCACCCUGGCAGCACUGCCACAUGUCCCUUGACCGUCCCAUGACCGUUCCCAUGUCCUUCAGUACCUACCAACAGCCACUUCUCGGCUCUCCUGGGAAGCGGGGACAGUCACACCCAGAGCACGGUCAACGCUCAGGAGGAGGAAUGCAGCAACGCGGCUGGCAGAGACUCUAGAAAUGAGGGCUGCACACUUGCUCACUGAUGUUCUUUGGUGGGGGACGUCUGCCUCAGAGCCCAGACCCUAUCGUGCUGCUAAAACUCAAGGGAAGGGAACAUCACCUCCUUCCAAUCAGUUCAUCUCCUGCAGGCAUCUGAAUGAAAUAAACGUGAUUUCCCUCUCAAA